CUGCGGAAGGAUCAUUACCGAGUUUUCGGGCUUCGGCUCGACUCUCCCACCCUUUGUGAACGUACCUCUGUUGCUUUGGCGGCUUCGGCCGCCAAAGGACCUUCAAACUCCAGUCAGUAAACGCAGACGUCUGAUAAACAAGUCAAUAAACUAAAACUUUCAACAACGGAUCUCUUGGUUCUGGCAUCGAUGAAGAACGCAGCGAAAUGCGAUAAGUAAUGUGAAUUGCAGAAUUCAGUGAAUCAUCGAAUCUUUGAACGCACAUUGCGCCCCUUGGUAUUCCGGGGGGCAUGCCUGUUCGAGCGUCAUUACAACCCUCAAGCUCUGCUUGGAAUUGGGCACCGUCCUCACUGCGGACGCGCCUCAAAGACCUCGGCGGUGGCUGUUCAGCCCUCAAGCGUAGUAGAAUACACCUCGCUUUGGAGCGGUUGGCGUCGCCCGCCGGACGAACCUUCUGAACUUUUCUCAAGGUUGACCUCGGAUCAGGUAGGGAUACCCGCUGAACUUAAGCAUAUCAAUAAGCGGAGGAA
rnacentral:rRNA from 1 species